rnacentral:rRNA from 1 species
UACGAAGGGGGCUAGCGUUGUUCGGAUUUACUGGGCGUAAAGCGCGUGUAGGCGGGGCGUUAAGUUGGGGGUGAAAUCCCGGAGCUCAACUCCGGAACUGCCUUCAAAACUGGCGGCCUGGACUCAAGCAGAGGCAAGUGGAAUUACGAGUGUAGAGGUGAAAUUCGUAGAUAUUCGCAGGAACACCAGUGGCGAAGGCGACUUGCUGGGCUUGUAGUGACGCUGAGACGCGAAAGCGUGGGGAGCAAACAGG